AAUUUGGAUCAUACAGAAUAUAUGAAAAUUGUAGUAAGACACAUUUGCUUACCAUGCCUGUGUUCUUCUAGGGUGUCAUUUGGAUUGAUGGUUCUGCUAAGGUUCUUUUCAUGGUUCUUUCCUUGGUGAAGAUUGUAGUUUUGUCUUUUAGACACAGCUUUUAUUUUUGUGUAAAUUACUUUUGAGUCUUGGGAGCUUUCACUACAUUUACAAUACUGCAAAGUAUAACUCCUACAGAGACUUUUCUCAUGCAGCCCUAAUAGGUGCAAAUCGGUAUCAUUUACUUUAAGCCAACAAUAAACAUUACAAGACCAGACCCAGCAUCCAGUGCAAAGCAGACAAAUAAAUCUGCCUUGAGUCUGACAAAUAGGGGUGUUCAAAAAGUCCUUGUACUCAGGCUUUGGUUAAGUAGCCACAUCAGCUGAAUGUAAUUUGCUGUGAAAUGGGGAAGGUAGUCCUCCUAGUCUGCCCUCUGGUUCUUCAUUUUUCUUGUUGCAGAACCAGGCUGCGUGUGCGUCAGCACAUGGUUGGGGAAGUGACAAAUGAAAGGUGUCCAUCUUCAUAUUCGGUUUUGCAUUCAGGCUGCCUGAUGUGACACAGCAGAAGGCUUUGGAGGCAGUAUGGAUUUACGUCGGGCUGAACUGACCACGUAACUAUGGCCUCACAGGGAUGCUCCAAAGCACGUAUCCAGUGCAGGAACUGGUUGUCAGCAUAGGAGGCAUAGCCCAGGAGGAGGAGGGGAGGCAGGGAGCCUGCCACUGGAGCUUGGUACUGCAGCAAUUCCCAUUUAAACAGUCCUCAGACACAAUUGUCAGCUGGUAUAAAUCAGCACACCCUUUGAGUUGCUGUAAUUUAUAAGGCUCAGACUGAUAUAUUUCAUCCUGCAACAUCAUUUAAAAGCAAUGUCUAGCGUUUUUAAGCCAAGGACCUUUGAAAUAAGAAAACAGGGCAAGAAGGAGUACUCAGGAAACUACGGGCUGGUCAGCCUCACCUCCAUCCCUGGAAAGGUGAUGGAACAGCUCAUCCUGGAGGUCAUCUCUAAGCAUGCAAAGGAAAAGAAGGUUACCAGGAGUAGUCAACACAGUUUCGUCAAUAGGAAAUCACACCUGACCAACCUUAUAGCUUUCUAUGUUGGAAUGGCUGGCUGGGUAGAUGAGGGGAGAGCAGUGGAUGUUGUCUACCUUGACCUCAGCGAGGCUUCUGACACUGUCUCCCACAACACCCUCACAGGUGGCAGGGUGGAGAGACCUCUUCUUUUGACCCAUACGAGAAGAAAAGAUCUAAUUACCAGUGCCAAAGGAACACAGGAUUGGUCCAACCUUUUACAUCCAAGUAAACAUGUAACAGACUUCGACUUCAGAACGCUCCACAAAACAUUUAGUCCAUGAAUCUGGGCUUUUUAAACAUCCUGGAACACAAAAUACCUACAGAAAAAGACUAAAAGCCACAACUAUUAAAAAAAAAAAAAAGGCAAGCUACAAGAAGAGUUCAGGAGAGACUGGGCACUACAGAGAUCCCGAUCCUAAGUUUCUGCAGUAGUAGAAAGUAUAUGACAUAAAGUUCCAUCAGGCAGCACUCUACUCCACUCUGCCUUACAGAAAAGGAAAUAAAACCUACAACAAUCUUUCCAAAAUGGAUUUGAGGGGCAAAUUCCUCCUGGGUCUUAGUUGGAUAGUUGAGCAUCCAUCUAGUAUUUGCAGAUCAGAGUUGUGACAAAUCUCAAGGGUAAACACCCACUUUCAGACAAUAGGGUGGUUUUGUGUAGUUUCCAUCAAAACAAUGGUGUAUUUUGGUCAGUGUGUUCUGCUUUCUAAAGUUCUUUAUCUUAUACACCCUCACUUCUCUUCACCUAGAUGCAAGUCAGGUCUAAGUGCAUUCUUGUAAUCCAUUUUCAUUAUAAUGCUACAUUCAGGAUUCUCUGGUCUUUGGUAUUUGAUUUGAUUUUGUUUGUAGAUACGACGUGAAUAAUGUUAAUGGAGAAUGAUACAGAUGGGAUGACUGAAUUUGGAAUAAAUUUUCAUGUACAAAUGCUGCAUCAUGAGGUUAUGUUAAUAACACAUAUCUCAAAGACUUAUCCAAUGAUAAUUAUCUAAAUGUUGAUUCCAAAAUUUUUCAUGUUCCAGAUAAGAUCUGACACUGCAAGACCACAAGCUACCUGGCUGAGGGACAGCAGUCAGUCAGCAAGAAGCACCAGGUGAUGGGAAAGGAAGAUCUGGCAAAAGGUCAGGGAAGAUUUUACCUGAAAAAACACCCCAAAAUCCAGUCCUUUGGAUCAUGACAGCCAGGUCAUGACUGAUUUACUAGACAGUUGGCACAGCAAGCCCAUGUCAUUUGUGUACAAGGUAUGAUAACGUAGAAGUAGUCAGCGCAGUGCUGUGCUUCCAAAACCUUGUAGGUGAGUUGUAUGGGAUAUUACUACAAUGAGGCAUACAGUUUAUUACCCCCUACAACUGCUUCUUUGAGCUGUUCUUCUCAGAUCUUGCUUAUAUUCGCCCAUCAGCUGCAUGAAGCAGAUGUCUCAUGCAGCUGAGAAAGCAGUUCUCAAUUCCAGGCAGAGCAGAUGGCAAGUCAGUUUUAAAGGUUUCAUCUGAAAGACCAACAUAAUGAAAUAAGACUAUAUAGUGUUCAAUCCGUCAGCACUUGCAAAGUGGUGGAAUCAAGAACAGCAGGAUUUAUUUGUUACGCUGAGAGGUAUGUUUUCCAUAUUUUUUUAUCUUUAUUGUCAGUCAUGUGCUUGCAUGACUAGUUGGGGAAUCAGAGACAGCUCUAAUGGAAAAGAGAAAUUAGGUCAUCUGGUCCAUCCUCGCUGCCAGGGCAUGACUGUUCCCUGCAGUGUAUCACUUCCCACACAGUUAUCUUUCCAACUGUCUUUUGUAAGAUGGAAAUGCAAUUCAGAGUCCCAUUUGGCUAUGACUACCAGAGCUUUUGAGGACGUUUUAUUUGGACAAAAAUGCUUAAUAAGAGACUUGGAGCUCACAGUUUUAAAUACAUUUCAAAGACAAAACAAGCAAAUCUCAGAAUUUGAUUCUUAGUAAAAACUUUUUAAUAGAAAAAGUGUGCAAUAUUUGGGAUAAUCGGGGACACUGUUUCCAUUCAGACAGGAAAUAGUUUCUAUGACUCAAUUCUACAAAUUAAACAAUAGGUUUCCUGCUAAAAAAAUUAUACAACUAGUUCAGUAAGUAGUUUAGGAAGCAGCCAGUACUUGUGAUGCUCUGAGCAGACCCUCAUCAGGAGACUCAGCACUUGUGCUAGCUGACUAUAGGCAUUCCAGGUUGCCUUGAUAAAUUACUCCAAGUAAUUAUCCCCAUCCUUCAGCAGAACAUCUUAAUGUGAAAGCACUCAGACUGUACAGAGCAGGAUUGGUUUAUUAUGGAAAGAAAUGAACAAAUGCAAAUAGAAAAAGUGAUAAAACUUAGAUGUAAGGAAGCGGUAAACUACUUCCUUUUCAGCAACUUCAGCAUUACUAACUUCCAUGCUGCCUGCGAAUGAGAGUAACCCCCAUCUUUUACCCCUCGACUACAUCACUUCGUUCACCGCCUAAGUCCAAUGGUUUCAAUUAGUAAGUGGCAGUCCAAAUAUUUCCCUAAAUUCGAUCUCCUUUCCCAAAGGACCCAUUUGCUUUGUUUUACCAGGAGGUGCCACCAUGUAGUUUGGUUUAAGCAUUUACUGUCUUAAGUUAGGGAUUCUCCAAACUCUGCUCAGCUUUGCUACAGCAUUUCCUUCUACCACCAAAUUCUCAUCCUUCACUGCCUUCACACGCUUACUUACAUCAGUUCUUGUAGUGACAUUCUUAGACCAUCGUCCUUCACUAGAGAAUCCUGUUCGCACUGCGCUCUGCAACAUUUUCACUGGGGAGGACCCAAGAGCAUUUAAGGAACUUCAGCAGAAACCCAGCAGUUCAAGCUCAUCAUGACAAAAUGAGUAAUUUCUCCUCUAUAACUUCUCUGAAAAGAUCACAACCACUACAACCUCAAGUACAAGUUCAUGUGGUUGGCUUUUUAUGUCCCACCAAAGGAACUAGAAGGUUUUAUUGGUGAAAGAUGCCUUUUCCCCUUCUCCAACAGAGGAAGAAGAGUGCUCUCAGGUGCUUCUGAGCUCAGGAGUUAAACGCUUAUUUUCUACAGUUGCCUUAUUUAAUCUGCAAAUCAAUCCACAUAGCUUUUCCUCUUGUCUCCAGCAAAUCAGACUCAAGGCUUCAAACAGAUGACAGGGUUGUUCCACCUGCACUAUAAAACCAGAAGUCAUUGUCAAGCUCUUACCAUGUUUCUUAUCUUUUAAAGAGCACGAGAGCAUUUAAUUCUUGUACAUAAAUAAUGCUUGACCUUGUGUUAAUUUAAAUGGGCUUUAGGGCUUUACCCCAUGGUUUUAGGUAGUCAUUGAAGCAUUCAGCUAGUGACCAAAGGUUGUCAAAAAGGCAUCAGUCAUGAAAGCAGGGUUAGCACAUCAGGUGUGAGUUCCUAGGGGCAUGACUUUUCUGGAUGUUUGUGUACAUAAUGGUCUCCACGGCAUGGUUUUGAAGCUUUACUGUAAUAAAAGUAACGAUUAGAUCCACUCUGACACGACAAUUUUCACUGAUUUUCUUGAAGUAACAGGCUUCGAGAUUCCACUUGAUGAGGAAAGGUGUGAUUACUAACAGAACAGAGUAAAUUAUAGUGCUUUUAUGGGUGUAGCAAUUUCAUACCAUUUCAGAAAACCAAAAAAUGUUCUAGUAUUGCAAUCCAUUGAACAGUCAACUUGUUUAAUUCUAGUGAUUUAUUAAUUAGUAAUGAGGCCUGCCUAGUUGUCUCGACAAGUGAAAUGUAGAAAGUUAAGGAAUAAAGUAGGAAGUUCCAAGAUGCUGAUACUGAUCUCGUAUUUCCAUCUGCCUGAUAAAACCCGCUAUUUUACAUUUGGAAGGCUUGAGCAUCUUUUAAAAAUCAAAGUGCCUUUCACAAUAAUGAUCCACCCUUUCUCCUCUGGUUCUAAUUAGACAAAAAUAGUAUUUGCAGUUGACCCAUCAAUCAAGACAGGUAAGCAACAUUUCCUGCCAAUAACUAACAACUUCUAACAGUGAAGUAAGACGUGAGCCACCUUUAUAAAGAGCAGCAAUAAGAAAAUAAAAUGUUUAUUUCUUUCAAAUGUCAAUGCCCAUGCUGUUAAAGAUCAUUCUGUUAGGCAACCAAAAUGAGAAUUUGGAGAUCCUCCUUCCUCAGCUGGGUUUUUUUUUCCCUUUGCAAUAUAGAUCCUGUGCACACGGACACCAAAACAGAAUGCGUCCCUUACCAACCAAACAGUCAUUGACAAAAUACAAAUUUAACUAUUGCAGACCAUCUAGAAACAGAAUCCCCACUAGAAUCAGCAAAACCUUGAGCAAAAGGAUGUGCAGCAUUAGGACCUGCCCCUGAAAAACAGCUACUAUUACAGAUACAUUGAAGCUCUGCAAUUCCUACCAUCCCUGCAUACCGCAAAAGGUUCCUGGAGCACUCUGAUCUAUUAAUCCAAGAUUGCUCUCUCUGCAGACCUCCUGACAGCAGAAUGCUGACUGGAUUUUAGCCAACAGGCAGAACUGACACUAAAUCAAGUGGGUACGAACUGGCUAAGUGUAAGCUUUUUAUUUGGAUUUCUAGCUGUCAGCAGGGUGAGGACCUGGAGCAGGCUUCCAAUAGCAAAGCAGGAAAAGAAUCUAAAUAUAAGGCUUGAUAAAGGCUUGAUAAACAUGCUGUGUAGUGCCUGUGAUGGGACUGAGUGGGAUGUGAUGAUCUAGGGGGUCUCCAGCAGUCUUCUUUUAAACACAUAAACCAUGGUAUACGCUGUCCCACUUUGAAGCAGAAGUCUCUAAUUGAUUAGAUCAGCACAUUUAAGGCUUUCUUCUCCACAGGGGACAUUUAUAUUAUUAUUUCUAUAAAGUAGUAUUUUUUGUUAUUUAUCAAAGCUGUGUUUGAACCACAUUCUGCAGCUCCACCAGAGGUGACCAUACACUCGAUGCAGAACAGCACAUAAAUGUAUUGUCUCGUUGCUCGCAGAAUGGAGCGUCACAUACAGAAGCCUAUAAACAUCUCUUCAGCCUUGACCACAGAACGCGCCUUCAUGCCUCUGCACAGCCAUGCAUCGCUUUGCAAGUGAAAGAUAUUUUCAGUUCUUUCCACUUCGGAGGUAGAACAAGAGACAGUAGUGUUUGCAUUCAAUACUCCUCUGAUCUAUGUGCUCUCUUCCUUUUUUUUCCUCUUGCCUUACAGUGCACUUUCAUUAGUGAUCACCUUGCUGUACCUCAUCCCCUCCAGGAUCCUACACACCUUGCACCUGGGUGCAGAGACCAUACCCUCCCACAAGUAUUGUCAAGGUACAAGAGAACCAUCUGUGCCCAGCCCUCACUUUAGAUCCUUAGAAGGGCAGGGUAGGAAGGAAGGGCAAGGACAGCUGGAGGGAAGCAGAGCAGGAGGGUAACUAGAACAUUAGAAACACAGAGUAGUUUUUAACUCAGUUGGUAAGCAAUUAAGAGUGGGCCUAGAAAAAGCUUUCAUUCUGUCUCCCACUGAGCAUUAUUGGAACUGUCACAGAUAAAAACUGAGGGAAGGGACAAAAUGCAACAGCAGAAACAUGGGGUCGGUUAAACUGUCUCUAGCUGCAGUACUACUGUACACAAACUUCUCUAGUGAUGCUUAGGUACACCCUACUGAUAAAAAGGUCAACCCUCUCUCAAGCACAAAGCUUAACAGCAACAAACUGGCAUGAGAGUAACAGUUUCCACUUGAUGCAAUACUUCCUGGGCACUAACAUUUAAUGCAUUUUGGCAUGGCUACAUAUUAACAAAUAUAUAUGCUUUGAAGCCUCGGAAUAAACCACAUUUUGCAUGACUACCUCUAAAACUAAUGGUAAUAGUGUUUGAAUAAAAUCUUGCUGAAGACCUGAUCUACAAAAAAUGACUUAUAUUCUUAAGGUCCUGUAUUUAAACUGAUUAAUUCUAGCAUUAAAGGUGAAUUAAGUGAUGAAUAAAGUUCACCAGCUACCUGAAACCUUUUAAAUCGGACAGCAAGAUCUUGUUCAGACCACUUAUUCCCAUCAAAUUAGCUGUAUGGAUGGGAUUUAAACCACCUAUAUAUUGAAACCGAUGGAAAGUACGCUAACAGAGCAAAAGCAGCUUUUUAUGGCAGUCUGGGUUUUCCAGAAGGGAUGAGAAAGCAGCAAAACCUUGUGUCUGCCAUUUUACAAAAUAGCCCCAAAACAUUCUGUUGACUCCCAGUUCACAUUGGCAUAGAUUGUUCCAUGAGCAGAAACUUGAGUAUUUUCUAAUCUAAACUGGGCUGAUUCAUGGAUCCUGUACUAUAGAGGCUAUAGUAUCUCUAAUACACACACAAAAUCUCUUCGGAAGACUGAGUUACAUGAAGAAUGUUAUAAUGUACAGCUGUGUUAUUGCUGCCACUGCCGAGACCAAACUUCAUUGCUCCCUGGCCGUAACACAUCAGGAGUUUUCCUUGGAGAGUGCAAUUUAAGUAAUUUAGAGCACAGAAACAAACAUCUCUUCUCCCUCUCCUUUUCCUCCCUCCUACAGGGCCUUAACGAGCCUUUAUUGUUUCCAACAGAUUUACAACAAAUCUGAAAUACCUAGCAUCUGCCCAGCAAUAACAAGAUCUGCAGCCGUAUGUAAAUUGAACCCAAGGUCUAAAAACCCCCCACCCUUCUCCCCCAAACAGGUUUUACAAACUGUCCUUUUUGUUUCCAGAGUAGAGGGAUUUUACAAUUACAAUGACCACAACAGCAGGAAUGAGAAUUUAACUAAGUGAAAGGAUUGGACAACUGAGAAUAUCAUUUGCAAUAAAAGAGCUUAUGAGCCACUUCUAAUGGCAUUUACAGAAUCUCAGCUUAGGGAUUCUUACCGUCAACUCACAGAUCCUACACUGACAAACUUCCCUUAAACGAGUUUGCACAUAUUUUUAAGCAAAUUUAAGUUUUAAGUUUUAAAAUACUUGAUCACACAGUUUGAGGCUACACUUUAUUAUCAGAGAUGUACUUACGUCUGUUUAUCGAUCUGAAGAUUCCGGCAGAAGACGAUAAACGCAUUCCUCUAGCAAGUUGGAGUCUUCACAGCGUAGUGGAAAAUACCAUGGCAGUAAUCCAGAGCUGGUACUAACAUUUCACCCUUCCCACACUGGCAUUUUAUUCAUCUGAAAGCUGGCCAAGCUGUAAUUGCUGGAGCUUUCAGCAGCCAUGUCAUCUAGCUACACUCACACAAAAGACAGCAGUUAGUUCUUGUUACAGAAGUCUGGGAUUUCAGUUGUAGAACUGGGAUGUCAGGUUUGUCCUUUUCCAAUAUACGAUGAUUUAUUUCCCAGUUUACCCUCUUGGUUUGACAUAGAAGAUAAUUUUAGGUGGCAUCACACCAUUUCUCAGACAUAUUGAGGACAUUACUAUUACUCUGAAAACCACACUAACAUUUAAAACAUUAGUACAUUUGGUAUGCUCAUGUAAAAUCUGGUUAACUAAAUUAAUAUUUCUACUGGCCUUUUUUUUUUUUUUUGGGGGGGUGGUGAUGUCUAAGUCAAAAGCUUUCAAUCCCCCAAACUUUCAACCCAUACUUACUCUGGUCUCCCUACACUGCUUUGUACUACACAAAAGAAAGCCAGAUGCAAAGUAGCAAGUGCUGUAUUUUAUAGAAUCAUAAAAUAAUUUGUCUCCUGGUAUAACACGUAGCCUGCUAUCAUGCCAAGAAUACUGCAACUAGACUUAGAGAAAAGUGUGUUUGUUGACAUUACUCAUUUCAACAAAGAUCCUGCGAAAUUAAGUACAGAAGUCUAUGGUUUGCCGCCAAACUGUUAUAACACAAAUACCUCAAAAUAAAAGUGGCUUAGCAUGAAGUACCAUCUCCGCUACCAUCACCCAUCCGGCAGAAAAGAAGUCUCUUUUUCCUUAAUAUUCUCAAAAUACUUAGAAGUUGAAACGAUUAAUGCACUACUAUGAAAUUCAUUGUAGGGGUUAAGACAGUAACUGCCCCACAGGAUUUACUAUACACACCCAUAUUCAGCAUACGAAAGUCUCAUCCUUGAUCUAAAAUGAUGCUAUUGUUUUACUAAGGUGUCUUAGAUUGAUUGUAUUGUCAACUGUCUGUCUGCCUUGCAAAUAAUAAGCGUGGAUUGGGAUCUGAGGUGUCUGUGCAGCGUUUCCUGAGCUGUGGGGCAGGUCCUUUUAUGCGAGGUGGGGCAGCACACGAGUGCAAAUUACCUCCUGGAGCUGGAAACCAUAAUGCCGCAAGAAUGCACCUAAUUAGUCUGGGUGUUGUACUAAUAAUGGAAUUUACUGGGGUUGGGGGAGGAUGACAAGGCAAAGCCAUGUAGGGAAUUAUGGUCUAUUCCUUUUUUCUGUACUAUCAUCCUACUCUCCCAUACCUUUCACUCCCUCCCCCCUCCAAAACAAUACAUCUAUUUGGCCAAAUUCUGGAAGUAACAGUAUGAGGGAAGAUGAUGCUGCAUUCAUUAUUAUUAAAGUUCAAGAGCUAACGUUGCAGUUUCAAGACUCUUUUUUGUGCAAAAUGUAGAUGCAAUGAACAAGAGACAACUAGAAUUUGCCCAGCUUGAUAUUAAAUGCUCUAAUGUCUAAGUUAAGCUAUAAUCUAGACACAAGGCCCAGUUACUGUUCCUGUAAGGAAAACUGACAAUUCUCUCAACAAGUUGCAAAAGGAAGGAAAUGAGAAGAGCAUUAGCUGACAACAUAGUGGAAGCUAAGACAGCACUCCAGAAGACAGCAAAGAAAGCAGACUCCUAAAUGAGCAAAUAAAGCUGACUGCUAAUAUGUCAGUACUGAAACAUCUUUAAUAGAAAAUGAGAGCACUUAGGAGUUAAAAACCUUUAUGAAACAAAUAAAGGAUCAAUAAGAAAUGCAUGGGGGAGGGGAAGAAAUUAUGAAACCAAAACACCAAUUAAGAAGCAUAUGAGUUUAUGUAGAAUCCUGCCACACAAUACUUUUGACAGCAAUUCAAAGUGACUGUAUGAAGAAAAUGGAAGUGAUACAAUAUUUUUUUUAAAAAAAAAAAUCAAUGCAUAUCAGUUGAAGCACAUAAUCUGAACAGUUUUAUUGUAGGAACACUCAUUGUGCACACUCAAAGAAUGAACACACACAUGGAAGGUGGAGGAUGUACCAUCAGAAGCCUGCAAGGACUAGUAAUAUGUCCUUUUCCAUAAUGUCAUGUCCUGGCUAGACAGGACACUAAUAGGAGUUAAAUAUUUUCAAAAACCCACCAACAUGGGAAACUAAGAGGUAGAGGUUUAGGAAACAAACUCUUGAGUGAUUUAGGGGAGAAGAAAAAAAAAGAAAA